CUCUUCUCUUCUGUCAUCUUCUCCUCUCUUCCUUCUCCUUGCUCCAAAGAGGACUUGCUUUCUUCGCGUGAAAGUCCACCGAGAGGAGUGUCAUGCCAGUUAAAGAAAGAAAGAAAAGAAAGAAAA
rnacentral:ribozyme from 1 species